UACGGAGGAGGCAAGCGUUAUCCGGAAUUAUUGGGCGUAAAGCGUCCGCAGGUGGCGAUUCAAGUCUGCGGUUAAAGACUGGGGCUUAACCCUGGAAAGGCCGUGGAAACUGAAACGCUAGAGUGCAGUAGGGGUAGAGGGAAUUCCCGGUGUAGCGGCGAAAUGCGUAGAGCUCGGGAAGAACAUCGGUGGCGAAAGCGCUCUGCUGGACUGCAACUGACACUCAGGGACGAAAGCUAGGGGAGCGAAUGGG
rnacentral:rRNA from 1 species